GGUUUGUUCCAGUCAGAAGUGUUUGUGGAAAGCGAGCAACCUGUAUCUUUCCUGGAUGCAGGAGACUACAGCGAAGACCCGAGGCAUACUCUGCUUAGGGCCACUGAAGUGCCAGAGGGAAUCUGAAGGACACUGAGCAAGCCCAACUCACCCAGUUCUGAUGGACAGAUAGCCUUUUGAGAGGUAUCAGAAGCUGUUGGAGAGGUUUCCUCGUGCAGCUGCCAGUCUGAGUCACUAGCUGUGCCAGAGAGGAGGGUGGCCUUCAGAGUCGUGAAGCCUGGGCCAGGGUACCUGGACACCCCAUCCCCCCCCGACGCGCACUGGAGAUGGCAGCUGAGGACAGUAGGGUGGGGUGCCUGCUUCCUCCAGUUGGUGCUGACUGAGCUUGGGCAAGAUGGCAUCUUCCAGGGUCACCAAGAAACGGAACCCACCCUCCAGUUUUCUGGGUGUACUAUUUGCCCAGGGCACUGCCUGCUGUUGCCGGUUUCACUCAGGUCGGGCCAGCCAAGGCUGAACUGGGGACUCCUGCAAUGGCAGAAGAGCAUCCCUGCCUGGCAGAACGCUGCCAUGGUGGGCAACGCUCCCGAGCCUCUUGGUGGUCACUGACCCUUUGAUAAUGUGAUGAAAGCUGUGGACCCUCUUCCUAGAAAAAUGCAAAGACACGCAGAACUCUGAAUAUACUUUCAGGGGUCCAGGGAUCUCCUGAGAGCCAAUCCUUGCCCCCCAGAUUACAAAACUUCCUCACUUGGACUUAAACACAGGGAGAAUAACUGACUAAACCCAAGAUCAUUGGCCUCUUCCCGCUCCCUCAUCCCCCUUCUUUCCCAGGAUGCCAGGGGAGCCACCUGAAUAAGCAGAGAGUGACAGGACACUGAAGGACACUGAAGUGCCAGCUGAGUGGGGCUCCAGUUAGAGGAGUCUGGGUUCCUCCACCCUCUGGGGUGGUGAAAACGACUCCCUGGGAAGGGGUGGGAAGCAGAGUGGGGGAAGCAUCCCCGUGUUGAGGAGAGGAUCAGGGAGGAAGAGUCUCCACCGUCCCUCUCCCGCUCCUGCUCCCCUUCCUUCCUCUUCCUUCCUCUCCCCAUCCUCCCUCUUCUCUUUCCCUUCCUCUCUCUGCCCUCCCCAUCUUCCCCUGCCUCCCUCUCCCUCUUCCCCUCCCAAUCCUUUCUCCCUCCUUGCCUCCCUCCCUGUGUCUCUAUCUCUCCCUCUGUCUCUCUGUCUCUCUGGUGCUGCUUACAUGUACCAGGCACGUUCGUCUCUCGUGAAUCCUCUGAGUAGUGGAGUCCCACUUUCUGGGUGUACAUCCUGACUACACCACUCCUGGCUGUGUGGCCCUUGGCCAGGAGCUUAGACUCUCCCUGCCUCAGCUUCCUCAUCUGUAAACUGGAUGUGAUGCUAGUGCCAACUUCAUAGGGUUAUGGACCUUAAAUGAACCGAACUAUGUAAAGAGCUUAGAAUGGUGCCUCACCCACAGAAAGCACUUUACACAUUUUAGCUACAGUUAUUAUUACAACAACCUGGUUAUUAUCCACAUUUUACAAGUGAGGAAACAGGCCCAGAGAGGUUAACUUCUUGCCCAAAGUCAUUCAGCUAAUAGAUGAUCAAGUUGGAAUUCAAGCUAGGUCUGUCUCACUCCAAAGCCUUUAUUAAUCACAGAGAGUUCCAGAAGCUUUGUGUGUUAAUCGCCCUAACUCAUCUGACACAGGAGCCCCGGACAGGUGUUGCUGUGUGAAUGGACUUCCACUGUGAUGCCAAGGGCCAUGGUGUCAUUGGUGACAUUCAGUACAGGUCUCCUGGUGUAGCUGGCUGCCCUAUACAUAAGGCAAACAGAAAGAUCUAGAAAUCAGUGCUUUCCGACUUUUCACAUCUGCUGAUUGAAAAAAAUUGUAAUCAUCUUUUAUAAAAAACAACUUUGAAUUAAGAAACAAUUCUCUUUUUAGAUUCACCGUUUUUCUAAUUUGAUUAGAAGUGUAACAUGAAUCCUAUAAAGAGUUAGACAUUACAGAAAUAAAGUGCUGCCUCCCAGAGAGAA